rnacentral:lncRNA from 1 species
GCAUCAAUGGCAUCUUCGAGAACAACUGAGGCUUCUACAGAAAAUGCACCUUCAACAACAGCUACAGGUCAAACAGCAGUGUCAUCUUUGAUGACAACAGAAACUGAAGCUUCCACAACCAUAGAUGUGACCCCCAAAAUCAUGCCUGUGCUCUCAGCAACUACAGAUACUGCUGCACCAACAACAACACCCUCUUCAACAACAAUGUAUGAAUAUUCUACAACUACAGCUGAAACCCCUACAACCACACUCAUAUCCUCGCCAAGUAUAACUGCACCUUCAACAACAGCAAAUGCUGCUCCAACUGCAACAGCACAAUCUUCAACAACUGCAGCUGUGAACCCCACAACCAUGCCUGUAUUCUCUGCACCUCCAGCAACAGAAAAUGUUGCUCCAACAACAACUCCACUGUCUUUGAAAACUGAAGCUUCUACUACCACAGAUGUGAACCCCCAAACCACUUUUAUAUCCUCAGCAACUGCACCUACAACAACAAUAAAUGCUGCAACAGCACAAUCUUGGACUACUGAAGGUUAUACAACAACAGCUGUGAGCUCUACAACCACUCAUAUAUCUUCAGAAUCUACAACAACAGCAAAAGCUGCUCCAACAACACCAUUGUCAACAACAAAUGAAGCUUUAUCCACCACAGCAGUGAACCCCACAACCACGUCUGUAUUCUCAGUACCUACAGUAACAGAAAAUGCUGCUCCAACAGAGACACCAUCUUCAACAAUAGAAAAUGAAACUUAUACAACCAUAGCUGUGACCUCCACAACCACACUCAUAUCCUCACCAACUACAACUGCACCUUCUACAGCAACAAAUGCUGCUCCAACUGCAACAGCACAAUCUUCAACAACUGAAGCUUCAGCAACCGCAGCUGUGAAUCCCACAACCAUGCCUGUAUUCUCUGCACCUCCAGCAACAGAAAAUGUUGCUCCAACAACUCCACUGUCUUUGACAACUGAAGCUUCUACUAGCACAGCUGUGAACCCCACAACCACUCUUAUAUCCUCAGCAACUGCACCUACAACAACUACAAAUGCUGCUCCAACACCAUUUUCAACCACUGAAGGUUAUACAACUACAGCUGUGAGCCCCACAGCCACUCUUAUAUCCUCUCUGACUACAACUGCACUCUCAACAGCAACAAAUGCUGCUCCAACUGCAACAACACAAUCUUCGACAACUGAGGCUUCUACUACCCAAUCUGUGAACCCCACAAC